CUAAGGCGAGGCCGAGAGGCGUAGUCGAUGGACAACAGGUAGAGAUUCCUGUACUCAUAUAUAUGUGAAGGAAUGACGGAGAGAGGAAGCUGCAGCCAGCGGCUGGAAGAGCUGGUGCAAGCGAGAUAUCGGGAUGGCAGGCAAAUCCACCAUCCGAAACGAGAAGGCGUGAAGCGUACGGAAAGCUAAGGCGAGUACGGAAGGCAGUGGAGGAGCUUCCAAGAAAAGUUUCUAACGAAAGUAUAUGUGACCCGUACCGAAAAUGGACACACAUGGGUGAGGAGAGAAUCCUAAGGUGAGCGAGAGAACUAUAGCUAAGGAACUCUGCAAAAUGACUCCGUAACUUAGGGAGAAGGAGUGCUCAUAGAGAUAUGAGCCGCAGUGAAACGGCCCAAGCGACUGUUUACCAAAAACACAGCUCUCUGCUAAGCCGCAAGGCGAAGUAUAGGGGGUGACGCCUGCCCGGUGCUGGAAGGUUAAGGGGAGGGGUUAACGCAAGUGAAGCCCUGAACUGAAGCCCCAGUAAACGGCGGCCGUAACUAUAACGGUCCUAAGGUAGCGAAAUUCCUUGUCAGGUAAGUUCUGACCCGCACGAAAGGCGUAACGAUUUGGGCGCUGUCUCAGCUGUAGACUCGGUGAAGUCUUAGUACCUGUGAAGAUGCAGGUUACCCGCGACUAGACGGAAAGACCCCAUGGAGCUUCACUGCAGGUUGAUAUUGGGAUUUGAUGCAGCAUGUACAGGAUAGGUAGGAGGCAAGGAGAUGGAUACGCCAGUAUUCAAGGAGCCGCUGUUGGGAUACUACCCCUGUUGUAUUGGAUUUCUAACCGGACGACGUAAAGCCGUUGACGGGACAGUGUCAGUCGGGCAGUUUGACUGGGGCGGUCGCCUCCCAAAGAGUAACGGAGGCGCCCAAAGAUACCCUCAGCUUGGAUGGAAACCAAGCGCAGAGUGCAAAGGCAAAAGGGUGUUUGACUGCGAGACCCACAAGUCGAGCAGGGACGAAAGUCGGGCUUAGUGAUCCGGCGGUGCUGAAUGGAAAGGCCGUCGCUCAACGGAUAAAAGCUACCCUGGGGAUAACAGGCUGAUCUCCCCCAAGAGUUCACAUCGACGGGGAGGUUUGGCACCUCGAUGUCGGCUCAUCGCAUCCUGGAGCUGAAGUCGGUUCCAAGGGUUGGGCUGUUCGCCCAUUAAAGCGGUACGCGAGCUGGGUUCAGAACGUCGUGAGACAGUUCGGUCCCUAUCUGUCGUGGGCGCAGGAAAUUUGAGAAGAGCUGUCCUCAGUACGAGAGGACCGGGAUGGACGCAUCAAUGGUGGACCAGUUGUCACGCCAGUGGCAUAGCUGGGUAGCUAAAUGCGGAAGGGAUAAACGCUGAAGGCAUCUAAGUGUGAAACCCACUUCAAGAUGAGAUUUCCCAUUGCGCAAGCAAGUAAGACCCCUUAAAGACGAUAAGGUAGAUAGGUCAGGAGUGUAAGCAUGGUGACAUGUUAAGCGGACUGAUACUAAUAGGUCGAGGGCUUGACCG
rnacentral:rRNA from 1 species